rnacentral:ncRNA from 1 species
AUAAUGAUACUCCCGUAAUUCGCGGCCCGGCCAUAAUGAAGGCGGGGAAACCGAUUUGGUUUGUGA